AAUCCAGGAUGGGAUCAUGAGUUCACAUGUCCGCAUGAUUAAAGGUAUUUUCCGGUAGACGAUGGGGAUGCGUUCCAUUAGAUAGUAGGCGGGGUAACGGCCCACCUAGUCAACGAUGGAUAGGGGUUCUGAGAGGAAGGUCCCCCACAUUGGAACUGAGACACGGUCCAAACUCCUACGGGAGGCAGCAGUGAGGAAUAUUGGUCAAUGGGCGAUGGCCUGAACCAGCCAAGUAGCGUGAAGGAUGACUGCCCUAUGGGUUGUAAACUUCUUUUAUAAAGGAAUAAAGUCGGGUAUGCAUACCCGUUUGCAUGUACUUUAUGAAUAAGGAUCGGCUAACUCCGUGCCAGCAGCCGCGGUAAUACGGAGGAUCCGAGCGUUAUCCGGAUUUAUUGGGUUUAAAGGGAGCGUAGAUGGAUGUUUAAGUCAGUUGUGAAAGUUUGCGGCUCAACCGUAAAAUUGCAGUUGAUACUGGAUGUCUUGAGUGCAGUUGAGGCAGGCGGAAUUCGUGGUGUAGCGGUGAAAUGCUUAGAUAUCACGAAGAACUCCGAUUGCGAAGGCAGCCUGCUAAGCUGCAACUGACAUUGAGGCUCGAAAGUGUGGGUAUCAAACAGGAUUAGAUACCCUGGUAGUCCACACGGUAAACGAUGAAUACUCGCUGUUUGCGAUAUACGGCAAGCGGCCAAGCGAAAGCGUUAAGUAUUCCACCUGGGGAGUACGCCGGCAACGGUGAAACUCAAAGGAAUUGACGGGGGCCCGCACAAGCGGAGGAACAUGUGGUUUAAUUCGAUGAUACGCGAGGAACCUUACCCGGGCUUAAAUUGCACUCGAAUGAUCCGGAAACGGUUCAGCUAGCAAUAGCGAGUGUGAAGGUGCUGCAUGGUUGUCGUCAGCUCGUGCCGUGAGGUGUCGGCUUAAGUGCCAUAACGAGCGCAACCCUUGUUGUCAGUUACUAACAGGUGAUGCUGAGGACUCUGACAAGACUGCCAUCGUAAGAUGUGAGGAAGGUGGGGAUGACGUCAAAUCAGCACGGCCCUUACGUCCGGGGCUACACACGUGUUACAAUGGGGGGUACAGAGGGCCGCUACCACGCGAGUGGAUGCCAAUCCCUAAAACCCCUCUCAGUUCGGACUGGAGUCUGCAACCCGACUCCACGAAGCUGGAUUCGCUAGUAAUCGCGCAUCAGCCACGGCGCGGUGAAUACGUUCCCGGGCCUUGUACACACCGCCCGUCAAGCCAUGGGAGCCGGGGGUACCUGAAGUGCGUAACCGCGAGGAUCGCCC
rnacentral:rRNA from 1 species